GGUCCAUCAGGAUAAGGAUUGGCUCUGAAGAUUGAGAUAGUCGCGCUUGAUUGGGAAACAAUAACAUGGUUUAUGUGCUCUCUAAAUAGAGAUCUAUCAUUUUAUGGUAGUUUCUAGUUCCCCGGAUAGUUUAGUUACGUAGCCAAUUGUGGAACUUUCUUGCUAAAAUUUUUAAGAAUACUAGCCGGGCAACCGAUUAGUUCUUUUAAAUUAUAACGAUUAUCAAUUAACAAUCAAUUCAGAACUGGCAC
rnacentral:ncRNA from 1 species